UUCUAGCCCUGAUGGGAGCGGCAUCCUUUUGUGUCCGCCGCGGCGGACACAAAAGAUAUAGUGGACAGCAGGAAAUAGC
rnacentral:sRNA from 1 species